rnacentral:rRNA from 1 species
GACGAACGCUGGCGGCGUGCUUAACACAUGCAAGUCGAACGGAAAGGCCCUGCUUUUGUGGGGUGCUCGAGUGGCGAACGGGUGAGUAACACGUGAGUAACCUGCCCUUGACUUUGGGAUAACUUCAGGAAACUGGGGCUAAUACCGGAUAGGAGCUCCUGCUGCAUGGUGGGGGUUGGAAAGUUUCGGCGGUUGGGGAUGGACUCGCGGCUUAUCAGCUUGUUGGUGGGGUAGUGGCUUACCAAGGCUUUGACGGGUAGCCGGCCUGAGAGGGUGACCGGACACAUUGAGACAGAGACACGGCCGAGACCCCUGCGAGAGGCAGGAGUGGGGAAUAGUGCACAAGGGGGAGAAGCCUUAUGCAGCAACGCCGCGUGGGAUGACGGCCUUCGGGUUGUAAACCGCUUUCGCCUGUGACGAAGCGUGAGUGACGGUAAUGGGUAAAGAAGCACCGGCUAACUACGUG